rnacentral:rRNA from 1 species
GAGACAGCAGCAGCCGCGGUAAAACGUAGGUGGCAAGCGUUGUCCGGAAUUAUUGGGCGUAAAGGGCUCGCAGGCGGUUUCUUAAGUCUGAUGUGAAAGCCCCCGGCUCAACCGGGGAGGGUCAUUGGAAACUGGGAAACUUGAGUGCAGAAGAGGAGAGUGGAAUUCCACGUGUAGCGGUGAAAUGCGUAGAGAUGUGGAGGAACACCAGUGGCGAAGGCGACUCUCUGGUCUGUAACUGACGCUGAGGAGCGAAAGCGCGGGGAGCGAACAGGAUUAGAUACCCCCGUAGUCCCUGUCUCUUAUAC